AGAACGAACGCUGGCGGCAGGCUUAACACAUGCAAGUCGAACGCGUGUAGCAAUACACGAGUGGCGCACGGGUGAGUAACGCGUGGAUAUCUGCCUUUUGGUUCGGAAUAACCCCGGGAAACUGGGGCUAAUACCGGAUGGUUCCUUCGGGAUAAAGAUUUAUCGCCAAAAGAUGAGUCCGCGUACGAUUAGCUAGUUGGUGAGGUAAUGGCUCACCAAGGCGACGAUCGUUAGCUGGUCUGAGAGGACGAUCAGCCACACUGGGACUGAGACACGGCCCAGACUCCUACGGGAGGCAGCAGUGGGGAAUAUUGGACAAUGGGGGCAACCCUGAUCCAGCCAUGCCGCGUGAGUGAUGAAGGCCUUCGGGUUGUAAAGCUCUUUUGGCGGGGACGAUGAUGACGGUACCGCAGAAUAAGCCCCGGCUAACUUCGUGCCAGCAGCCGC
rnacentral:rRNA from 1 species